rnacentral:lncRNA from 1 species
AGAGACCCAGAUCAGACUUCUUCCAUGGCUGCGCUUGCUGGUCUCCACACAAUGAGAAAUAGAUACUUAAGGUUGCUGCCAUCCUCAGGACUCUUGCUGCUGUUUUUGCCAUUGGGAUUUGCAGCCCUGGAAACAAGAUCCUGUGCUUGGUGGUGCCCUCCAAAACCUCCAUGUAUCAAUGCCGAUAACUGCCGUUGCUUUCCAGGAUUUGGUUCUUCAUCUGAGGUGAUCUUCACUGGCCCCUUGGAGAGUUGUGAUGAUAUCAAAGAGUGUGGACCAUCCUGGAAUGUGUCCUCUGAAAUACAUAUAGACUGCCAGGACUUUAACGAGAGCUACUCCCUUUGCAAAAAAGGAAACAGUCUUCUUUCUCGUGAAAUGUUUGUGAAUGAGUGUAGAAGCAUGACCUCUGGACUAGAGGCACUGCUGAUUAUAACAUUGAAAACUGCAGCCGAAAAGCUUAAAGCCUCUGACCCCACAGAAUGUGCCCAGUGGUGCCCUCCAAACUCCAAAUGUGUCAAUGCUAACAUCUGACACUGCACUUUGGGGUUCAAUUCAUCAUCUGGAGAAAUCAUCACCAGCUGUUCAGAGAGUUGUGAUGACAUCAAUGAGUGUGAACCCCCCUCCACAGUGUCUUGUGGAAAAUUUGCACAGUGCUGGAACACAGAUGGGAGCUACUACUGCACAUGCAGCCCAGGAUACCAACUUGUUUCUGGGGCAACGAUGUUCAGGAAAGAAAGUGAGAACACAUGUCAAGUUGUCAAGCCUGAGAAUACCACAAAGGACCAGGACUCAGAAAAAUGUUGUGUCAGACCUGAGCAGGAUGACAAGAACACCCCAACAUACACACUUGGAGAUCUGGAUAAACAGAAGAGGCUCCCAUCUGGACCAGACAGCAACAGAGAUCAUCAUAAGGAACCAUUGCCACAGGGCCAAACCUCUCCCAAGGAGGUCAAACCAGGCUCCAUGGGGGGCCAGACUGAUGGGGGACAGAAGAAGGCUAAGCCCCACUGGCAAGAAGCCAAAGGUCUGUAUCCUUGGUGGAGCACAGGGCCCAUAUGACACAAACACCUGCUACCCCUCACCCAUCAGACCUUUCUCCCCACUCCAGCCAGCCUGCCCUCAC